GGGUUGUGAGGUUAAGCGACCAAGCGUACACGGUGGAUGCCCUGGCAGUCAGAGGCGAUGAAGGACGUGCUAAUCUGCGAAAAGCGCCGGCGAGGUGAUAUGAACCCUUGACCCGGCGAUGUCCGAAUGGGGAAACCCAGUGUGACUUGUCACACUAUCGUUAGCUGAAUACAUAGGCUAACGAGGCGAACCGGGGGAACUGAAACAUCUAAGUACCCCGAGGAAAAGAAAUCAACCGAGAUUCCCCCAGUAGCGGCGAGCGAACGGGGAGGAGCCCAGAGCCUGAAUCCAGCUUGUGUGUUAGUGGAAGCGUCUGGAAAGUCGCACGGUACAGGGUGAAAGUCCCGUACACGAAAACGCACAGGCUGUGAGCUCGAUGAGUAGGGCGGGACACGUGGUAUCCUGUCUGAAUAUGGGGGGACCAUCCUCCAAGGCUAAAUACUCCUGACUGACCGAUAGUGAACCAGUACCGUGAGGGAAAGGCGAAAAGAACCCCGGCGAGGGGAGUGAAAAAGAACCUGAAACCGUGUACGUACAAGCAGUGGGAGCCUCUUUUAUGGGGUGACUGCGUACCUUUUGUAUAAUGGGUCAGCGACUUAUAUUCUGUAGCAAGGUUAACCGUAUAGGGGAGCCGAAGGGAAACCGAGUCUUAACUGGGCGUUAAGUUGCAGGGUAUAGACCCGAAACCCGGUGAUCUAGCCAUGGGCAGGUUGAAGGUUGGGUAACACUAACUGGAGGACCGAACCGACUAAUGUUGAAAAAUUAGCGGAUGACCUGUGGCUGGGGGUGAAAGGCCAAUCAAACCGGGAGAUAGCUGGUUCUCCCCGAAAGCUAUUUAGGUAGCGCCUCGUGAAUUCAUCUCCGGGGGUAGAGCACUGUUUCGGCUAGGGGGCCAUCCCGGCUUACCAACCCGAUGCAAACUGCGAAUACCGGAGAAUGUUAUCACGGGAGACACACGGCGGGUGCUAACGUCCGUCGUGAAGAGGGAAACAACCCAGACC
rnacentral:rRNA from 1 species